GACGAACGCUGGCGGCGUGCUUAACACAUGCAAGUCGAACGGAAAGGCUCCUUCGGGGGUACUCGAGUGGCGAACGGGUGAGUAACACGUGGGUGAUCUGCCCUGCACUCUGGGAUAAGCCUGGGAAACUGGGUCUAAUACCGGAUAGGACCAUGGCAUGCAUGUGCUGUGGUGGAGAGUGUUAUGCGGUGUGGGAUGGGCCCGCGGCCUAUCAGCUUGUGGGUGGGGUGGUGGCCUACCAAGGCUGCGACGGGUAGACGGCCUGAGGGGGUGUCCGGCCACACUGGGACUGAGAUACGGCCCAGACUCCUACGGGAGGCAGCAGUGGGGAAUAUUGCACAAUGGGCGCAAGCCUGAUGCAGCGACGCCGCGUGGGGGAUGACGGCCUUCGGGUUGUAAACCUCUUUCACCAUCGACGAAGCCUUUCGGGGUGACGGUAGGUGGAGAAGAAGCACCGGCCAACUACGUGCCAGCCGCCGCGGUAA
rnacentral:rRNA from 1 species